rnacentral:rRNA from 1 species
AACGAACGCUGGCGGCAUGCCUAACACAUGCAAGUCGAACGGGAUCCUGGUUUCGGCCAGGUGAGAGUGGCGGACGGGUGAGUAACGCGUGGGAACCUGCCCAGUGGUGGGGGAUAACUGCGGGAAACUGCAGCUAAUACCGCAUGAGCCCGAAAGGGGAAAGAUUGAUCGCCAUUGGAGGGGCCCGCGUUCGAUUAGGUAGUUGGUGAGGUAACGGCUCACCAAGCCUUCGAUCGAUAGCUGGUCUGAGAGGAUGAUCAGCCACACUGGGGACUGAGAUACGGCCCAGACUCCUACGGGAGGCAGCAGUGGGGAAUAUUGGACAAUGGGGCAACCCUGAUCCAGCAAUGCCGCGUGAGUGAUGAAGGCCUUCGGUUGUAAAG